GAUGAACGCUGGCGGCGUGCCUAAUACAUGCAAGUCGAGCGAACAGACGAGGAGCUUGCUCCUCUGACGUUAGCGGCGGACGGGUGAGUAACGCGUGGAUAACCUACCUAUAAGACUGGGAUAACUUCGGGAAACCGGAGCUAAUACCGGAUAAUAUAUUGAACCGCAUGGUUCAAUAGUGAAAGACGGUUUUGCUGUCACUUAUAGAUGGAUCCGCGCCGCAUUAGCUAGUUGGUAAGGUAACGGCUUACCAAGGCAACGAUGCGUAGCCGACCUGAGAGGGUGAUCGGCCACACUGGAAAUGAGACACGGUCCAGACUCCUACGGGAGGCAGCAGUAGGGAAUCUUCCGCAAUGGGCGAAAGCCUGACGGAGCAACGCCGCGUGAGUGAUGAAGGUCUUCGGAUCGUAAAACUCUGUUAUUAGGGAAGAACAAAUGUGUAAGUAACUAUGCACGUCUUGACGGUACCUAAUCAGAAAGCCACGGCUAACUACGUG
rnacentral:rRNA from 1 species